UAUCAGUAAGUUUCAUCUCUAAGUUCCAUUCACCAUUCUCUCCUUUCUUCUAUAAUAAGCAUAUAGGACUAGUUCCAUUGUCCGUUCUUUUAUUAUAACCAGGAAGAUGAAGAACAUGCCAUUGCAGAGUGGUCGAGGAAUUUGUCGGCAGCACUAGUCGGCGGCGGCAAAAAGUCAUUUUUAGAGGCUAUUUCUAAGUCUUUAAGCUCGGGAUACCAAGAUUUGGUGACUGCCUGCCUAACAACUAUAGCGUGGUUGACCGGUGUAUUACCAUCACCAACCGGUGCUGAGUUGCAGCAGACCAUAUGCACUCUCAUCCCACAGCUCAAACAAAGCCUUGAAAGUGGGGAACAAGUUAAACAUAAGAUUUUUGCUUCAAUGUCCUUCCUGAACUCAAGUAAAGUUCCAGAAUACAGGGUACUGCUAAUGACAAUUGCAGAAGAGAUGGUGAUUCCUCUAAGAUGCCUUGCUGAUAUAACAUGGACAGCAAAGGAGCUAUACACCAUAACUUCCGCUACGACAGACCUCUAAAUUUUAGGAAGAUGCUGCUGCUCUUGCUUCCACAGUUCUAAAGUUUUGCAUAUAUUUAUGUUUGAUAAAAUGUCGUAUACUUCUGUAAACAUGUAAAGAAAGUUUCUAGUUCUCCCUGAUUCUUAGAACUGUUAAUAGAAUUAUCAUCAAGAAC